rnacentral:rRNA from 1 species
CCUACGGGGGGCAGCAGUGAGGAAUAUUGGUCAAUGGACGAGAGUCUGAACCAGCCAAGUAGCGUGAAGGAUGACUGCCCUAUGGGUUGUAAACUUCUUUUAUGUGGGAAUAAAAUGUUCCACGUGUGGGAUUUUGUAUGUACCAUAUGAAUAAGGAUCGGCUAACUCCGUGCCAGCAGCCGCGGUAAUACGGAGGAUCCGAGCGUUAUCCGGAUUUAUUGGGUUUAAAGGGAGCGUAGGUGGAUUGUUAAGUCAGUUGUGAAAGUUUGCGGCUCAACCGUAAAAUUGCAGUUGAAACUGGCAGUCUUGAGUACAGUAGAGGUGAGCGGAAUUCGUGGUGUAGCGGUGAAAUGCUUAGAUAUCACGAAGAACUCCGAUUGCGAAGGCAGUUCACUGGACUGCAACUGACACUGAGGCUCGAAAGUGUGGGUAUCAAACAGGAUUAGAUACCCCAGUAGUC